rnacentral:rRNA from 1 species
GAACCGGACAAACGUUAUUCGGGAAUCAUUGGGGCUUAAAGGGUGCGUAGGCGGUGCGGUAAGUUGGGUGUGAAAGCCCUCGGCUCAACCGAGGGAAUUGCGCCCAAAACUACCGUGCUAGAGGGAGACAGAGGUGAGCGGAACUGAUGGUGGAGCGGUGAAAUGCGUUGAUAUCAUCAGGAACACCUGUGGCGAAAGCGGCUCACUGGGUCUCUUCUGACGCUCAGGCACGAAAGCUAGGGUAGCGAACAGGAUUAGAUACCCUGGUAGUCCUAGCUGUAAACGAUGAGCACUUGAUCGGGGAUCCCCCCAUAGGUUCCCGGUCGUAGCGAAAGUGUUAAGUGCUCCGCCUGGGGAGUAUGGUCGCAAAGGCUG